UGAUUCACCUUUGUAUUUGCACCACUACUGAGGAGAGAGGAAAUAACAAAAGGCUGCAGCAACUGGUGAAACAUAACAUUGAUUAAAGGCGAUUUAUUGCAUUUCAAUCAGGAAUUUAAGGUAGCUCGGAGAUGGCGAUGGGUAUGAACAGACAGAGAACCACACUUCUCUGUGCUAUGUUUCUGAUUUCACUGGUAAUGGUGAGUGCAUCCACGACAUCCACGACAGCAGCAACACCAACCACAACUGCGUCCCCCA